rnacentral:misc_RNA from 1 species
GAUGAAGAACGUAGCGAAAUGCGAUAAGUAGUGUGAAUUGCAGAAUUCAGUGAAUCAUCGAAUCUUUGAACGCACAUUGCGCCCCUUGGUAUUCCAUGGGGCAUGCCUGUUCGAGCGUCAUUUGUACCUUCAAGCUUUGCUUGGUGUUGGGUGGUUGUCUCGCCUUUGCGUGUAGACUCGCCUUAAAAUAAUUGGCAGCCGGCGUAUUGAUUUCGGAGCGCAGUACAUCUCGCGCUUUGCACUCAUAACGACAGCGUCCAAAAGUACAUUUUACACUCUUGACCUCGGAUCAGGUAGGGAUACCCGCUGAACUUAAGCAUAUCAAUAAGCGGAGGA